CCUACGGGGGGCAGCAGUGGGGGAUAUUGCACAAUGGGGGAAACCCUGAUGCAGCGACGCCGCGUGUAGGAAGACGGUCCUCUGGAUUGUAAACUACUGUCCCCAGGGACGAAGAUGACGGUACCUGGGGAGGACGCUCCGGCUAACUACGUGCCAGCAGCCGCGGUAAUACGUGGGGAGCGAGCGUUGUCCGGAAUUACUGGGUGUAAAGGGAGCGUAGGCGGGGAUGCAAGUUGGGUGUUAAAUCUACCGGCUCAACUGGUAGUCGCACUCAAAACUGCAGCUCUUGAGUGAAGUAGAGGCAGGCGGAAUGCCUAGUGUAGCGGUGAAAUGCGUAGAUAUUAGGAGGAACACCAGUGGCGAAGGCAGCUUACCAAACUACGACUGACGUUGAGGCACGAAAGCGUGGGGAGCAAACAGGAUUAGAUACCCCAGUAGUC
rnacentral:rRNA from 1 species